GACGUAGGGCGCGAGCGUUGUCCGGAUUUACUGGGCGUAAAGGGCGCGUAGGCGGCCACCGCAAGUCAGUUGUGAAAUCUCUGGGCUUAACCCAGAACGGUCAGCUGAUACUGCGGGGCUAGAGUGCAGAAGGGGCAACUGGAAUUCUCGGUGUAGCGGUGAAAUGCGUAGAUAUCGAGAGGAACACCUGCGGCGAAGGCGGGUUGCUGGGCUGACACUGACGCUGACAGCGCGAAAGCUAGGGGAGCGAACGGG
rnacentral:rRNA from 1 species